AUACGUUGUAAUACGUAAUAUUUGAGGAUUAUUGGAACUUACGGAUUGGGAAUCCGAGUUACGGAUCUUCCGGAAUUGGAAUUGUAAGUCCAUAAUAUAAAAUGUUAACCGUCACUUAGUUUUGGAAAUUGACGGAGAUCCGACCGUUGGAUGGUAAUGAAAUUUUAGGAUGUUGUCCUAGAGGUAUAAUGUGGACCUCUGGAAGUUAUGGAUUUAAAAUCUGAGUGGCAGAUCUUCCGGAUCGAUCUACGUAGUGACGUAUUUUAUAUAAGUUAUAUAUUCUAUCGAUAUGAAUUCUGAGGUUGGAUUUGAUUACUGUUCUAGGCGGCGAUCGUCAUGACGCCUUGAUGUGUGGUGCUAGGGAGUUGUUGGACGAACUCCAGGUGAGUGGGCAGUUUUGUUUUCCGUAUACAUAUAUAAUUGACGUUUCCCAGAAAUUGAAAAUGUUACGAAAGUAUGCUUUAAAUGCAAAGUAUAAAAGUAUGUUUUCAAAUGCCAUGAGUAGAUUAUAUGAAAGAUAUGAUUUGAGAUAUAUUAGUUGAAAUACCAUGCUUAGAAGUAUGUGAAAAGUAUAUAGAAAUGUGAAUCGAAAUGCCAUGCAUGAAAUGAUAUGAAAAGUAUGAAUUGAGAUAUGAUGCAUAUGUAUGAAUUGGUGCUGUGGACGCACAGGUGAGUAUCAGGUGAGUAUAUUACUGCUAUGAUGAUGUUGAGAUAUAUUGAGCUCAUAACCUGCACCUUGGUAUUAGUGCUUAUUAUUAUUCACCGCAUCGCAUGCUCACCUUGGAUCCAAGUAGAUGCUAGUCGUACAGACCACCGGGGGUGGUUCCGACAUGCCAGUCGUACAGACCAUUAGAGGGGUUCCGACUGGUAGGUGACCUUAGAUUAUGUGCACAGAUGAUUGAUGAGAAAAGCACUAGAGCAUAUUAUUACACCAUUAAGUCGUACAGAUUACAUUAGGUAAUUCCGACUUAUGUGCAGUGUAGUGCCGUACAGGUCAUACUAGGUGACUCCGGCAUGGCCGAACAGGUCACAGUUGGUGACUCCGGUUAUAUGAGAUUUUGAGCUCUACAUUCAGCCGUACAGGACCAUUGUAGGGUCUCCGGUUGAUUUCUUUCUUGCACCUGAUAUGAUUAUUGCUGAUGCAUUCAUACUUAACUGUUGAAUUUAGACAUGGCAUGGCAUGAUUGAUAAAGAUAAAUGUUGAGAUAGUAAAAAUGAAGUUUUGAUAAUAUAUAUGUAUAUUUAUAUUUUACAUUUCUGGGAAAGUAUACAGGUUUUACGGAGAGGGGUUACAACGUUUUGAGAAAUGUUUGGAUUUGGAAAAGAAUUGUUUUACUGACCCACUCAAUUUUGGUUUUGCGCCCCUCCAGGUUCAUGAAUCACAAAGGUGUGGUGACUACGAGGAAUUCGACGGUGUUCUGACAGAUUGGACAAAAUUAGGACUCACUUUCGGGUGUAUCAACUUAGGAAUUGUAUCUUAAAGCUUCCGUACUGUGCAAAUGGUUACGUCACUCUCACGUGACGGCCAGCAUGCCCUCCUUCGGGACGGGGUGUGUCAGUUGGUAUCAGAGCAUGGUUGCAAUCUUGGACAUUUUGAGAAGUUCUAGUGAAUUCUGUCAGAACUACACCGCCUCGUAGCAAGCCACUUAGUUAGAGGAAUUUAGUCUCCCUAAUAUAACGGUUUAGGGGAAACUAUUAUUAUGGUGAUUCAGUCUAUUAUAAAAAGGGACAUUUUAAGAUGGGUUAUGAGUUGAAUUUGAAUCACUUAAGAGAAAUGAUGAACCUGAGGGAGCGAAGUAACGGUUUAACCAUUUGGAAAAGAUGUUUCGGAUUAUGCAAGUCAAAGGAAUCUUCCUUCUGACAAGGGGUCGAGAUGACUACCUGGUUUGAGUUAUGAACGUGUAUCCUGAUGGAAGCAGGAGUAUUAAUUGUUGUCAUCGGAGGAACAGCCGAUUUAAAAUUGUUUAAGGACUUGUUUAAGGAAAAGUUUAUCCCUCCGGCAUUUAUCGAUGGUAGUAAACAAGAGUUUACAAAUAUGAGACAAGGAAGGUGAUGAUCGAGGGAUAUUAUAGAAAGUUUUCAGACUUGCCUUGUUCCAUCCAGAUAUUGUUGUUAUUGGUGGAGGUGUUAUGUUGUUUUAAGCUGGGUGGCAAAAAGGGAAGUGGUAUUUUGGGUGACCACUAUCCAUUGUAGUUCUUAUCAGGAGUAUGCUAGAUGUUGUUGAGUCUUGAGGACUCUGAGAACAUGAGCAACGAGAAUAAAGAAGAAUAAGAAAUGAAUGGGAAUUUAAAGAAGACGAUAAAGUUAAUGAUUCGUCAUAUCAAGGAGAUAGAAAGAUUCAGAGCUUCGAAAGAAGUGAAGCUAGAGUUAAUUCUUCCAGCUGAGGUUUUAAUGUCGCUGGUCAGAGUAAAAGUGAUGGAUAUACUGGUAAUCCCAGAUAUUUGAGACAAGGUGUCUCGAGUAAAGGAAAUGUACUUUGUGCAGCAGGUACAAAAUUAACACUUUGGGAAAUGUGAAAUUAAUGAAUGUGUUUAUGUAAACAGAGGGGACACAUAAUUGUGAAUCGUCCCUAAAAUCAGUUGUACUCAACAAUUUUCCAUGAUAUCAUAGUGUCAAUUCAGCAGAGUUAUGGACUUAGUAGUUUGGUUGGAUUGACCAUGAGUACCGAGAGAUUUGAUGAGUUAUAUGUUCAGCCGUACAGGCCAAAAGAGGUGGAUCCGGCUGACACAUGAGAAAUUGGUGAGUUAUAGGCUCGGCUGUACGGACCACAAGAUGUGGAUCCGGCCGACGUAUUUACUGGGGAAUUGAUGUGUAAGUCGUACAGGUCACUAUAAGUGACUCCGACUAAUGUGCUAGCAUAGAUGGUUGAGCUGGAGAAUCAGCCGUACAGGUCAUUCUAGUUGACUCCGGCUGAUAUAUUUCUGAGUAUGGACAAUGAUGCCAAAGAAAGUAAUGUUGGAACGUGAUAGAGGCGUAUAUGUGUAUUCUAAUGAAAAAAAAAAAUGAUAGUAUUACACCUUUGGGAAUUGUUGCUUACUUAUCGAGACAACGAUGAUUUAUCAGUAUUGCGGGCUGCAGACCGUAAUAUUAAUAACUCAUUCGUGGAUUCGUUAAGCAAGCAAACCGGUAUUUUAUUUUAUGUUAGUGUUGUACUUAUUUAGAAUGUUCAGUAAUAAUAAAGUAUGUAUUGGGUCAGUUAAUUUUAUUCCAUUAGAUUGAUUAUUUAUAGUUGUGACUAGAUGGAAUAUUACGGGAAACCAGUUACUUUCCAUCGAUCUGGAUGACCAGAGAUUACUUUUGUAAGUAUGCAAAAUGGAUUGAGUCAGGCCGUUAUUUAUGCUGUGAGAGCAAAGAGAUUGUUUUCGAAAGGCUGUCAAAAAUACUUAGCUCAUGUGGUGCUAAAUGAUGUUGUUUGGAGUAGUGUGAAUAAUGUCGAAAGAGUUAGACUUUUCUUGAUGUCUUCUCUGAAAGUAUACCUGGAUUGUCUUCAGGCAGAGAUAUGAGGUUCAUUAUUGAUUUGUUGCCAGGUAUAAAUUUAUGUUAAAGAUUGGUUCAUGAUGAGUUAAGGGAAUUGGAAAUUCAGUUGAGAGAAUUGGUUGAUAAAAGUUUUAUUCAACCUAGUACAACACUGUUGAGGAGCACCAGUUUGUUGGUGAGAAAGGAAAUGGACUUAGAGAUUGUUCAUUGAUUAUAGAUAAUGGAAUCGGGUAACGAAUGAGAACCGUUAUCCAUUGUGGUGUAUUGACGCUCAUUUGAUCAGUUCAAAGGUGCUUGUAUAUUUUCAAAGAUUGACUUGAAUACUGUUUAUUAUCAAUUGAAGAUUAUGAGUUAUUGGAUGAAGUAUUCCAAUAAUGCCUUGAUAAAUAGAUAUCAUUUUCAUUGAAGAUAUUCUGGCAUAUUCUGAGCCAGAGCAGAACAUGUAAACGUAUUAAGUCGGUGGAACAAAGAUUGGAAGAAUGUCGGUUGUAUGCUAAGUAGCAAAUGCUAAAGUUAGAUGAAUCAUGUGGCAUUCUGAGAAUUGUUAUAUAUUCUUAAGGUAUUCAAGUGAAUCCUUAAAAGAUAGCAGAAAUUGAGAAAUUGGAACAACCACAAGCCAUAAUUGAGAUUCGGAAAUUCUUAACUUAUCAGGCUAUUUUGGAUGGUUGUGAAAGAAUUUUUAGUCAUUGUUUUGUCAUUGAUGAGACUGUUGAGAAAGGAGGUUAUGUAUGAGUGGGAAGGAAAUUGUGAGCAAAGGAUUCAACAACUGAAGUAUUUCCUCACUCAUGCACGUAUUUUAGUAAUCCCAAAGAAUAAUGGUAAUCAUAAAUUUUUAGUGAUGUUUCUUGAAUGGUAUUGGAUGCAUGUUGAUGCAAAUGUUAGGGUGAUUGCAUACGUUUCACGACAAAUGGAAUCUCAUGAGAUGAAUUACCCUACUGGUGAUUUGGAAGUCACGAUUACCAUCCUUGCUGUGAAGUUAUGGAGACAUUCUAUGUUGAUAAGAAUGCAAGAUUUUACAAAUCAAAAGAGUCUCCAAUAUUUGUUUACUUGGAAGGAUUUUGAUAGGAGGCAGCGAAUGUGAAUUGUAUUGCUUAAUGAACAUGAUUGUACGAUCAGGGUGAUCGUAAAGUUUGUUCUAACUGAAGCACUUGGUGAGAAGACUACAAUAAGAUUAAUGUCUGGCACGUUUGCCAAGAGUAUCAUCUUGUGGAUUGAAACCAACGGAAGAAAAAUUAAGAAUGGAAGAUCGAGAAGAAGUUAUACUUGUUAAAUUUCAAGUUAGGCCUGUUUGGUAAGGUCGUACUUGAAACUUAAAUGCUUGACGAAGAAAUUUAAGAAUUAACCAAGGUAGAGAAAGAAGGUAAGUUAAAUCCUAAGUUAAUCGGACUUAAGUGAUUAUCGAAAAGUUGGUGAAGUUGCUUACAAGCUUGUGAUGCCCUCAGAAUUGGUUAAGGUGCAAAACAUAUUUUAUGAUUCGAUGCGUUGUCACUAGGUGGCAGAUUCGUCACAUAAGAUUCUGGUGUAACUAUUGAGAAUUAAAUUGGAUUCGACUUGAUAAGGAACCAAGGACGACUUUGGAUUGGAAAAAGAAGGUCCUGAGAAAUUAAGACAGAGUAAGUAGUAGUAAAAGCUUUGUGAAGGAAAUCAUUCAGUAGAAAAGUAUGUGGGAGAAAGAGAAUCGGAUGAGAAAGAUUUACCCGAAGCUAUUGUUGGAGUAUGGUUUGAUUUUAGUUGGUUGCUGGAAUUUCGGGGACGAAAUUCUAUAAGGAGGGAAGAUUGUCACAGCCCGUCCCGGAAUUUUAAUUCCGAGGACAUGAAAAGACGAAAAUGCCCUUAAACGGGACUAAGGGGCGAAAAUUUAACAAUUUGGAUUGAGUUGGACACGUGGGAUCCCCACACCCCUCAAUCCUCUCCCUAUUUUCUGCAUACUGUCUCUCUCUCCUCCCUCACGAAUCUCUCUCUCUCUGUCACUCUUCUUCUCCGUUCGAACAAACCAACCACAAAACAACCUUAAACUUCCACCAACGACGGAGUUAAGACUACCAUCGAACUCCUGGAGACUCCACGAUCACGUAGACACCAAUUUCAGGUAAGUUUUACUUCGGAAAACCUAGAUUCUAAACUCCCCGUGAAAGUGCACUGUUCAUGAUCUUCGAAUUGACUUUGUUUUAGGACAAUCCAAGCUCACAGUGAGCUUAGUGAGGUUCCAAGGAAGCUCGGAGUGCUUCGUUGGAAGUUUUUGGACGUAAGAACACGGAGAUCGAUAAGUUCAAAGUUUGGCCGGAGCUUUCGAGGCAUUUUCCGGCGAAUCCCCGGCGAGUUAGGCGUCGAGGUAGGUAUCAAUCUCUUUCGUCUCGUCAAGUACUACAAACUUUCCUUUUUGUUUCACUCAAUUUCGUUGAGUAUUGAAGAAGUUAUACUCAUUUGAAAAAUACCCAGUUUCCGGCGACCUCCGAGGCUUUCGAGGCAGUUUCCGGCCAAACUACGGCGAACUAGGUGUUGGGAAAGGUACCAUUCUCUUUGUCUCUUCAAGGGCUACAACUUUCGUUUUUGAAUCACUUGAUUUCGUUGAGAAAUGACAAAGUUAUGGUAAUUUGAAAAACUGCCCAGAAAACGGCCGCCGGAAAAACCAGUCCGGCGACCCAAGGAAGAAGAAGGUGCUACAGUAAAAAAAUAAAUAAAAAUAAAAUUAUUUUAAAAAUAUGUCGACGUCCGUGACGUCGAGUAGAUCACCGUGGUAUAUUCAUAUACCCAAAUUGAACACCGUAUGAGAAAGUUAUUGAAGAUUGUUGGUUAGGUGUUCAAAUAACGUUUUUAUAGUUUUCACAUUUAGGUGAAAAUGUGAAUUGAUGAUCCGACCGUUGGAUCGUCACCAAACUUUGAUACGUUGUAAUACGUAAUAUUUGAGGAUUAUUGGAACUUACGGAUUGGGAAUCCGAGUUACGGAUCUUCCGGAAUUGGAAUUUGUAAGUCCAUAAUAUAAAAUGUUAACCGUCACUUAGUUUUGGAAAUUGACGGAGAUCCGACCGUUGGAUGGUAAUGAAAUUUUAGGAUGUUGUCCUAGAGGUAUAAUGUGGACCUCUGGAAGUUAUGGAUUUAAAAUCUGAGUGGCAGAUCUUCCGGAUCGAUCUACGUAGUGACGUAUUUUAUAUAAGUUAUAUAUUCUAUCGAUAUGAAUUCUGAGGUUGGAUUUGAUUACUGUUCUAGGCGGCGAUCGUCAUGACGCCUUGAUGUGUGGUGCUAGGGAGUUGUUGGACGAACUCCAGGUGAGUGGGCAGUUUUGUUUUCCGUAUAUACAUAUAUAAUUGACGUUUCCCAGAAAUUGAAAAUGUUACGAAAGUAUGCUUUAAAUGCAAAGUAUAAAAAAGUAUGUUUUCAAAUGCCAUGAGUAGAUUAUAUGAAAGAUAUGAUUUGAGAUAUAUUAGUUGAAAUACCAUGCUUAGAAGUAUGUGAAAAGUAUAUAGAAAUGUGAAUCGAAAUGCCAUGCAUGAAAUGAUAUGAAAAGUAUGAAUUGAGAUAUGAUGCAUAUGUAUGAAUUGGUGCUGUGGACGCACAGGUGAGUAUCAGGUGAGUAUAUUACUGCUAUGAUGAUGUUGAGAGAUAUAUUGAGCUCAUAACCUGCACCUUGGUAUUAGUGCUUAUUAUUAUUCACCGCAUCGCAUGCUCACCUUGGAUCCAAGUAGAUGCUAGUCGUACAGACCACCGGGGGUGGUUCCGACAUGCCAGUCGUACAGACCAUUAGAGGGGUUCCGACUGGUAGGUGACCUUAGAUUAUGUGCACAGAUGAUUGAUGAGAAAAAGCACUAGAGCAUAUUAUUACACCAUUAAGUCGUACAGAUUACAUUAGGUAAUUCCGACUUAUGUGCAGUGUAGUGCCGUACAGGUCAUACUAGGUGACUCCGGCAUGGCCGAACAGGUCACAGUUGGUGACUCCGGUUAUAUGAGAUUUUGAGCUCUACAUUCAGCCGUACAGGACCAUUGUAGGGUCUCCGGUUGAUUUCUUUCUUGCACCUGAUAUGAUUAUUGCUGAUGCAUUCAUACUUAACUGUUGAAUUUAGACAUGGCAUGGCAUGAUUGAUAAAGAUAAAUGUUGAGAUAGUAAAAAUGAAGUUUUGAUAAUAUAUAUGUAUAUUUAUAUUUUACAUUUCUGGGAAAGUAUACAGGUUUUACGGAGAGGGGUUACAACGUUUUGAGAAAUGUUUGGAUUUGGAAAAGAAUUGUUUUACUGACCCACUCAAUUUUGGUUUUGCGCCCCUCCAGGUUCAUGAAUCACAAAGGUGUGGUGACUACGAGGAAUUCGACGGUGUUCUGACAGAUUGGACAAAAUUAGGACUCACUUUCGGGUGUAUCAACUUAGGAAUUGUAUCUUAAAGCUUCCGUACUGUGCAAAUGGUUACGUCACUCUCACGUGACGGCCAGCAUGCCCUCCUUCGGGACGGGGUGUGUCACAAAUAAUUCAAAACCUGUCUCUAACUCUCUGAUCCAAUGAUCCAAAUAAUUAAGUAAUGUUAACAAUUACAUGUUAAUUUUUUUUAAGUAAUUAAGUAAUGUUAACAAUCACCAUGUUUUAUAUUAGGAUUAUUUUAUUAUCAAAUUGGAUUAUUCAUUAAAUUGGAUUAUUAUCAAAUUUGAUUAUUAUUCAUCACCAUGUUUUAUAUUAGGAUUAUUUUUUUAUGAAAUUGGAUUAUUAUUCAUUAAAUUAGAUUAUUAUUCAUUAAAUUGGAUUAUUAUCAAAUUGGAUUAUUAUUCAUCACCAUGUUUUAUAUUAGGAUUAUUUUUUUAUGAAAUUGGAUUAUUCAUUAAAUUGGAUUAUUAUCAAAUUGGAUUAUUAUUCAUCACCAUGUUUUAUAUUAGGAUUAUUGUACUAAUUCAUUAUAUAUAAAUUAUUAUGAUGUGUUUAGACUUCUUUCAUUAAUUACUACAUAUUUUCUACAUUCACAAUGUUUGUCAGCUAGCUAUAUAAUCAACUUGAUAAUGCUAAAUCCAUCAUGCAAUGCAUUUCUUUCCAAUUUUUUGUGAUAAACUAAUAGAUAAUUGACUAAAU
rnacentral:lncRNA from 1 species